rnacentral:snRNA from 1 species
AGCUUUGUGCAGUAACAGUAUCAUAGCCAAUGAGGUUUAUCCAAGGCACAAUUAUUGCUAAUUGAAAUAUUUUACAUUUCAGUUAUGUUGAGAUGGAAUUAUACAAAGAAAUCCUUGUAAUAAAUAGUCAAUG